AAGCAAAUAAGAACAGAUAAACACACACACACGGGUGAUCGAGAUUACCACAGAGAUCCGGGUUCGAGCCCUUCUUCAGACAGCAUCUCCUGUUACAGUUGUCAAAGAAACCAAAACAUUGUAUUUGAAAGAAAAGCAAAUCUCAGGAAAUAAACUUUAGAUGAAAACUAGUGGACUUCGCUCAGCACCUGUUCCUGUGGGGCUUCACUUUGUUUUUCCAAGGAGGACACCACCUCACUUUUUGCCCACAGAGGAUGUCACCAUCCUGCUCUGUUCUUUUUUUUAUUUUCCUCAGUGCCCUGCAAUAUCACCCUGCACCUGUUCCUGUGGGGGACGCUACUUCACUCUCUGUGCUUUUCCAUGGAGGAUGCCACCUCACGUAUUGUCCACGGGGAAUGUUGCAGGCCUGUACCUUUUGCCUUUUUCUGUUUUUUUUUUCUGUCUCUCUGCCCUUUCUGCUCGGCUGUGGACGUCGCUUGGCCCUUUCUGCAUGGCUGUGGAUGUUGCUCGGCCCUUUCUGCAUGGCUGUAGACAUCACUCGUCCUUUCUGCACGGCUGUGGACGUCGCUCGGGCCUUUCUGGUCGGCUGUGGACAUUGCUCGGCCCCCUCUGGCUACACUGUAGAAUGCCUUGCGCCCCCUCUGGCUACGCCGCAUUCCUCACUCCACCCACCUGCCUUGCCGCAUUUCUUGCUCCUCCCUGAUUUUAGCCGGGACCAUCGCCUCUUUGGACCUUCGAGGGUAGUUCUGUGUUGGUGCGUCGGGAGCCUCACAUUGAGGGGGGUACUGUCAGGAAUGGCUGGGACUAUUCCCUACUGGGAUAGUAGGGGUACAUUCUGGCAGUUUUUGAACCAUAAGAGUAAGACUCAUUUUUUGAGUAAAGUGUAUGUGUACUUUAAUAAUUUUUUUAAUAUUUUCCCUCUUUUCUGCUUUUGUUAAUUACCCUGAUGUAAUCUUUGCAUGUGUCAUUUCAUUUUCAUGCACAGCGACAUAAGUGACAAUGGGUUUUCUUUCAUAGCUUUUAUUUCUCAUUUUUGUUUGUGUGUGUUUUCAGCACCUGUAACUCUGGACUCCAACACUGUUCAUGUUGAACUCAUUGUAUCUGAUGAUCUGACCAGUGUGAGACUCACUGAUGAGGAACAAGGCUCUUCCACACUCCCAUGUAUCUAACUAGUCUUCUAGCACGUUACAAUCCUUUGCUCUCUCCUGAUAGUGUUUGGGGCUUAGACACACUUUCCCAGUUUAAAUGUAGAUUAAAAACUCAUCUCUUUAGUCAGGUGUACACAUAAUACAUCCCAUAAUACUGGGUGCACUCUUACAUCAGACUUGCACAUUUUUAUGAACAGCCGAUAUGUUAAUCCCUCUCCACAGCGUCUCUCUUUCUACCCAUCCCGAGGCAUCCCUAAAUUGUACCAGCUCCGAUCGUCUUCCGUGGGAUGAAGAUUUUGGACCUCCAAUGAGAUGAGGCCGACUCUGAGGACUCUGAGAAUCCUGAGGCAUCUAGAGAUCUUCUUCUUCUUCUUCUUCUUCUUCUUCACUAAAUGAUCAAAUUUUAACAGCAUUGUCAUGGUGGGAAUAAUGCUGCAUGGUUAUUUAUGCCUUAUUUAAUCUUUAAUCACUGGAUAAAUUUGUUACAAAAUUAUGGUUAAUUAUUUUAUACUCAGUAAUUAAACAUAAGAAUUAUAUUCUCCAUCAUUGUAAAAUCAGUUAUAUUUCAUUUAAUUUCCUCUUCACUGCAGGUUCAGGCCCAACACACAGAGCAUCAGAUUAAGGAGCAGUUUGAGAAACUUCACCAGUUUCUAUGAGAUGAAGAGGCAGUCAGGAUCUGCACUGAGAGAGGAAGAGGAGCAGAAGAGAUGAGCUCAAAACUGCAUUGAUGCCCCUACAGGAGAAACUGAAGAUCUUUACAGACUGUAAACUGAACUGGAGUCAGACUGCAGAACAUAUAAAGAUUCAGGCCAACACACCGAGCAACAGAUUAAGGAACAGUUUGAGAAAUUUCACCAGUUUCUACGAGAUGAAGAGGCAGUCAGGAUCGCUGCACUGAGAGAGGAAGAGGAGCAGAAGAGUCAGAUGAUGAAGGAGAAGAUUGAGAAUCUGAGCAGAGACAUAUCAUCUCUUUCAGACACAAUCAGAGCCAUAGAGAGUCAUUUAGUCAGUAUUUUUACUGUGAGAAAGUAAAAUUUCUUUCCAUCAUCAGAAACGUCACAUUUCAGUGGUGUAAAAAUGUAAAUCAUAUCCACUGAUAUGUGCUUUGUUGU